UACGAGGGGGGCAAAUGUUGUUCGGAAUCACUGGGCGUAAAGGGUGCGUAGGCGGGGCUUUAAGUCCGGGGUGAAAUCCUGGAGCUCAACUCCAGAACUGCCUUUGAUACUGAGGAUCUUGAGUUCGGGAGAGGUGAGUGGAACUGCGAGUGUAGAGGUGAAAUUCGUAGAUAUUCGCAAGAACACCAGUGGCGAAGGCGGCUCACUGGCCCGAUACUGACGCUGAGGCACGAAAGCGUGGGGAGCAAACAGG
rnacentral:rRNA from 1 species